rnacentral:rRNA from 1 species
AGCUAGUUGGUAGGGUAAUGGCCUACCAAGGCUCCGAUGGGUAGCCGAGCUGAGAGGUUGAUCGGCCACACUGGGACUGAGAUACGGCCCAGACACCUACGGGUGGCAGCAGUAGGGAAUAUUGCGCAAUGGACGAAAGUCUGACGCAGCCAUGCCGCGUGAGUGAUGAAGGCCUUCGGGUCGUAAAGCUCUUUUCUGAGGGAAGAACCGCUUGCGGAGGAAAUGCCGCAGGCCUGACGGUACCUCAGGAAUAAGGGACGGCUAACUCCGUGCCAGCAGCCGCGGUAAUACGGAGGUCCCUAGCGUUGUUCGGAAUUACUGGGCGUAAAGGGAGCGCAGGCGGACCGGUCAGUCUGGAGUGGAAUCCCGGGGCUCAACCUCGGAAGGCCUCCGGAUACUGCCGGUCUUGAGUUCGUGAGAGGAAAGCGGAAUUCAGGGUGUAGCGGUGAAAUGCUUAGAUAUCCUGAGGAACACCAAUGGCGAAAGCAGCUUUCUGGCGCGAAACUGACGCUGAGGCUCGAAAGCGUGGGUAGCGAACGGGAUUAGAUACCCCGGUAGUCCACGCCGUAAACGUUGUCAACUAGGUGCGGGAGGUAUCGACCCCUUCCGUGCCGCAGCUAACGCACUAAGUUGACCGCCUGGGGAGUACGCGCGCAAGCGUGAAACUCAAAGGAAUUGACGGGGGCCCGCACAAGCGGUGGAGCAUGUGGUUUAAUUCGAGGCAACGCGAAGAACCUUACCCAGGCUUGACAUCCCAGGACAGCCCGUGAAAGCGGGUCUUCCCUUUCGGGGACCUGGAGACAG